AAUCAAACCCUACUCUGUUUCAAGCCGCCUCCCUCAGCUCUCUGCCUUGUGGUUCUCUCGCCGCCUCCCUCAGGGCUCGGUUAUCUCUGUGCCAGAAGAACUUCGAGUUCUAUUUGAGAGAUUUGGAGCUGUCAGGGACGUGUAUAUUCCCAAGGACUAUUACAGAGGGUCAUGGAUUCAAUGGAGCCUACACAACCUAAUGUUGCCACUACAAGACCAACCAUGAGACCUCCUCGUCCACCGCAGGUGAUAUCUUCUUCUAAUCCUAAUAAAAGAAAAUCACCAUCAACAGCUUGGGACCACUUUGAGAAGUUUAUAGAUGAGGAAGGUAGAACUAAGGCUAGAUGUAUAUAUUGUAGCAAGGAGUACAUGGCUGAUAGCAAAAUUUAUGGGACUUCUAAUUUAAAAAACCAUACACCCAUUUGUCCUGAAUAUCUUUAUAAUGAAUUGCAUGAUGGACAA